rnacentral:SRP_RNA from 1 species
GCUGGGCGUGGUGGUGGGCACCUGUAAUCCCAGCUACUUGGGAGGCUGAGGCAGGAGAAUCCCUUGAACCUGGGAGGUGGAGAUUGCAGUGAGCUGAGAUCGCGCCACUGCAGUCCAGCCUGGGUGACAAAGCGAGACUCUGUCUCAAAAAAAAAAAAAAAAAGUGUAAUAAAAUACACAUAGCAUAAAAUGUAUCAUUUUAACCCCGUCUCCCAGGCUGGAGUGCAGUGGCGUGAUCUCAGCUCACUGCAAUCUCCACCUCCCAGGUUCAAGGGAUUCUCCUGCCUCAG